rnacentral:rRNA from 1 species
UACGGAGGAUGCGAGCGUUAUCCGGAUUUAUUGGGUUUAAAGGGUGUGUAGGCGGGAAAGCAAGUCAGAUGUGAAAACCAUGGGCUCAACCUGUGGCCUGCAUUUGAAACUGUUUUUCUUGAGUACUGGAGAGGCAGACGGAAUUCCUAGUGUAGCGGUGAAAUGCGUAGAUAUUAGGAGGAACACCAGUGGCGAAGGCGGUCUGCUGGACAGCAACUGACGCUGAGGCGCGAAAGCGUGGGGAGCAAACAGG